rnacentral:lncRNA from 10 species
UGAGCUCGGUUGCGGCGCAGCCCCGCCGCAGUGCGCAAAGCCAUAUUCGCGAAGUCUCUGAGGCUGAGCCAGUGGCGUAAGGGGCGCCGAGCGCUGUCGAGAUGAGGGUUGCGUGCGUAAAGCCGGAGAGCCCUUUUGAGUCUGCGUUGGCGUGGCUGCUGCUUCUUGCUCCAGUCCCUUUGUUCACUGAGUCCAUAUGCCAUGCUCCAGUUGUAUCAUCCCCUUUUCCCUCGACCUCGUUUUCUCACCGGGAAUAUGGGAAGAAAACGCACCCUUACCUCCCCCGAACCCUCUUCCGCGGGUGUUUGGAGGAUUUCGAAUUGCUAGCUCCUGUUUUUUUUUGUUUUUUGUUUGUUUAAGUGCACGUUAAACAUUGUCAGUUGUGUAUUUUCAUUUUAUUUAAGGUUCACCAUAAGAAAUAGGAUUAAGCUUUUCAAAGCCGGCAAGUUGAACUAUUUAUACUUACCAGAGACAAGGCCUUGCUCUGUUACACAGGCUGGAGUGCAGUGGUGUGAUCAUAGCUCACUACAACCUUGAACUCCUGGGCUCAAAGAAUCCUCCGGCCUCAGCCUCCCAAGUAGCUAGGACUACAGGCACAUAUUACCAUGCCUGACUACUUUUAAAACUUUUUUUUUCCUAAGAGAUAGGGUCUAGCUAUGUUGCCCAGGUUAGUCUUGAACUCCUCACCUCAGCCUCCCAAAGUGCUGGGAUUACAGGUGUAAUCCCACCACACCCAGCCCCAUAUCUGUUUUUUAAACUUUUUUUCCAGUGAUCUUUCCUUGACUUUAUACUUUCUCUCUUAAUAGAGCACAGAGUGAGCAGAAGUAAACAAAAUAGACACUAGAAAAACACAGAAAAGAUCAAUGAAACUAAGUGGUGGCUUUUAUAAAAGCUAAAAAAAUCAAUAAACCUUUAACUAGACUAGCAGAGAAAAAGAGAAGACGUGAAUAAAAUCAGAAAUGAGAAAGGAGACAUUACAAUUGAUACAACAGAAAUAGAAAAGAUCAUGAGGCUACUCUGAACAAUUAUAACCAACAAAUUGGAUUAACUAGAAGAAAUGGAUAAUUUCCUUGACACAUAAAACCUACCAAAAUUGAAUUAUGGAGAGAAAGAAAAUCUGAAUUGACCAAUAACAGGUAGGAGACUGAAUCAGUAGUAAAAAGUCUCUCAUCAAAGAAAAGCCCAGGACCACAUGGUUGCACUGGUGAAUGCUACCAAACAUUUAGAGAAUAUUCCUUGUUUGAAUAUUUUUGAUUAGUGAUUCAAACUGCUUACUCAUUAUUGGUCUAUUCAGAUUUUCUAUUUUUCAUGGUUCAGUCUUCCUAGGUUGUAUGUGUCUAGGAACUUAACCAUUUCUUCUAGGUUAUCCAGUUUGCUGGCAUGUAAUUGUUCAUAGUAGUCUCUUAAGAUCCUUUGUGUUUCUGUGGUACCCAUUGUAAUGUCUCCUCUUUCAUUUAUAGUUAUUUGAGUCUCCUGUCUUUCUUAGCCUAGAUAAUGCUUUGUCAAUUUUCGUUUUUUAAAAAAAAUUUAGUUCACUGAUCUUUUCUUUUGUUUUUCUAGUCUCUAUUUCACUUGUGCUCUAAUCUGUAUUAUUUCCUUACCUCUGCAAACUUAGUUUGUUCUUGUUUAUCUAGUUCCUUCAGAUGGAAAGUUAUUUAUUUAAGAUCUUUCUUUUUCUUAAUUAGGUAUUUAUUGCUGUCACUUUCCCUCUUGAACUCCUUUUGCUGCAUCUCAUAAAUGUGUGUGUGUGUGUGUGUGUGUGUGUGUGUGUGUGUGUGUGUGUGUGAUAGAUCUCACUCUUUUGCCCAGGCUUGAGUGCAGUGGUGUGAUCUUGGCUCACUGCAACCUCCGCCUCCCAGGUUCAAGCAAUUCUCCCACCUCAGCCUCCCAAGUAGCUGGGACUACAGGUGCCUGCCAUCACGCCCGGCUACUUUUUGUAUUUUUAGUAGAGAUGGGGGUUUCACCAUGUUGGCCAGGCUAGUCUUGAACUCCUGACCUCGAGUGAUGUGCCAGCCUUGGCCUCCCAAAAUGCUGAGAUUACAGGCAUGAGCCACUGCACCUAGCCACAUCCCAUAAAUUUCGGUAUGUUGUGUUUCCAUUUUCAUUUGUCUUAAGAUAUUUCUGAUUUCUUCUUUGACCCAUUGGUUGUUCAGGAGUGUUAAUUCCACAUACUUGCAAAUUUUCCAAGUUUUCUCCUGUUAAUUAUUUCCAGUUUCAUACCAGUGUGUGAAACCUUUCCUUGAUGUAGUAAUAGAUAUAAAUACACACAUAUGUAUAGGUUUCCAUCUAUGAUUCCUGGCUCAUAACUCCCAGAGUCCUUGUUACAGUCUUUUGUUACAAUGUUGGUAUGUUAGGCCUCUCUGACUUUCUCCAGUGUUCCUUUCACCUGCCCCAAGGCAGGUCUGUAAUCUGAUUGUGGGUCAUAAGACCACCAUUCCAGAGAGGGUCCCAUCCCAUACCCUGGGGGAAGGAAUGCUAACGUCACGAAGCUUCUAUAAAAAGCCAGGAUGACUGGAUUUAGAGAGCUUCUGGAUAGCUGAACACAUGCAAGUUCCUGGAGGGCAGCUCGCCCAGGGAGGGCAUGGGAGUUCUGUGCCCCUUCCCCCAUACCUCACCCUGAGCAUCUCUUCAUCUGUAUCCUUUGUAAUAAAAUAAAUUGGUAAACAUGUUUCCCUGAGUUCUGUGAGUCACUAUAGCCAAUUAAUUGAACCCCAAGAGGGAUUGUGGGAACCCCAACUUGAAGCCAGUUGUCAGAAGUUCCAGAGGCCCCAGACCUGUGACUGGUGUCUAGCAGUGUUGGGAGAGGGAAAGAGGACAAUCUUUGGGGGGCUGAGCCCUUACCCUGUGGGAUCAGACACUAUUUCCAGGUAGAUAGUGUUGG